GGCCAUGGCUCAGUGGUAGAGCAUCUGCUUAGCUUGCAGAAGGUCCCAAGUUCAAUUCUUGGCAUCUCCA